GUCGAUUAUGUCUUACAUAUGGUGAUAGUCGAUUAUUUGGAGUCAGCUUUCUGCUACAGAAAACCACCGGUUUGUGAAUUUUCAUACAUGUUUUUAUAGCAGCGUUUUUGCAAAUAUAACAGAGACCACCUUACAUACAAUACAUAAACUACAGUUAUUUUUAUUUGUAGGACUUCACAGACGAGCAAUUGCUGCGGAAGGUGUGUGUUGAAGAGCUAG